rnacentral:rRNA from 1 species
CCGGAUGUUAGCGGCGGACGGGUGAGUAACACGUGGGUAACCUGCCUGUAAGACUGGGAUAACUCCGGGAAACCGGAGCUAAUACCGGAUAGUUCCUUGAACCGCAUGGUUCAAGGAUGAAAGACGGUUUCGGCUGUCACUUACAGAUGGACCCGCGGCGCAUUAGCUAGUUGGUGAGGUAACGGCUCACCAAGGCGACGAUGCGUAGCCGACCUGAGAGGGUGAUCGGCCACACUGGGACUGAGACACGGCCCAGACUCCUACGGGAGGCAGCAGUAGGGAAUCUUCCGCAAUGGACGAAAGUCUGACGGAGCAACGCCGCGUGAGUGAUGAAGGUUUUCGGAUCGUAAAGCUCUGUUGUUAGGGAAGAACAAGUGCAAGAGUAACUGCUUGCACCUUGACGGUACCUAACCAGAAAGCCACGGCUAACUACGUGCCAGCAGCCGCGGUAAUACGUAGGUGGCAAGCGUUGUCCGGAAUUAUUGGGCGUAAAGGGCUCGCAGGCGGUUUCUUAAGUCUGAUGUGAAAGCCCCCGGCUCAACCGGGGAGGGUCAUUGGAAACUGGGAAACUUUGAGUGCAGAAGAGGAGAGUGGAAUUC